rnacentral:tRNA from 2 species
CCGUGGUGUAGUGGUUAACAUGCCUGCCUGUCACGCAGGAGAUCGCCGGUUCGACCCCGGUCGG